rnacentral:rRNA from 1 species
UACCAGCACCCCGAGUGGUCGGGACGUUUUAUUGGGCCUAAAGCAUCCGUAGCCGGUUCUACAAGUCUUCCGUUAAAUCCAACUGCUUAACAGGUGGGCUGCGGAAGAUACUAUAGAGCUAGGAGGCGGGAGAGGCAAGCGGUACUCGAUGGGUAGGGGUAAAAUCCGUUGAUCCAUUGAAGACCACCAGUGGCGAAGGCGGCUUGCCAGAACGCGCUCGACGGUGAGG